UUAUACAGCGGGCAGCAUAGUUUGUGGGCUGCCGAGUGAGCCGGGAGCAGAGUGAAGGCUUAAGGGCUUCGGUGGAAACAGGCGUGGCGAAGAGGGUUUGGACUGUAAUCUUGAACUAUCCUGAAGGAAUGCUGGCGAUACUUGAUCAUCCCUUGUCGACGAGCAACCUGGAGAAGUUGGUCUUUAACAUUGACAUAAUGGAAACGAAGAAUAACUGGUCUGGGUUUGGAAGUAAUCGCUGCCGACUUUGUCCACGGUAUACGAUGGGCGCGGUCGAGUAAUGGAGGAUCAUUGGGAAAAACUGAACCGAACGAAUCUUUUAAAAGUUGAGCAAAGAAUAUUGCAGGAUCUUCAGCCUCAACAUCCUCGGGUAAACCGAUUAAAUAUCAUGCUCCACUGAAACUUUCCACCAAGUUAAUGGACACCUCCUGUACUAGCCGACAAUGGCGAUUUAACCCUAUUUUGCUUCAAGAUCAAGAUUUUGUCAAAUUUAUAAAGGAGCAGAUCGAUUUCUUUUUUUCAACUAAUACUACAGACGAAGUUUCCAAUGGAACUGUUUGGGAUGCCUUUAAAGCUUAUAUCCGUGGUCAGAUCAUUUCCUAUUCGGCUGGUUUGAAAAAACGUGUUAACAAUGAAAUACUUUUGUUGGUUGAUAAAAUUAAAGAAGUCAAUAAAAAAUAUGCUAUUUCUCCCAGUAAGGAGCUGUACAAACAUAGAGUUGAACUCCAAUUUGGAACAUAGUUUAUUAUUAACAUCCUCCAUCGAAAAUCAAUUAAUGA